UUUUCUUCCAACUCCUGCCCACUCAUUAUUGUCUGAACCACACCUAGUAUUACCCUCAUAUCCACUAAAACUUCAAGCUUUACCAAUUUGUCACAAGCGAAGAUGGUAGCUCCCAACACCAAUGAGGUUCCAAACAAUUACGAUCGAAAAAGCGAAGUGAAAGCUUUUGAUGAGACAAGGGAAGGCGUUAAGGGUCUUGUUGAUGCCGGGAUAGCCGAGGUUCCUAGAAUUUUUCAUCAACCACCACAAUUGGACGAUCAGUACUCCAUCAACAAUACAAGCACUGACUCAGAAGCCACCCAGUUUAGCAUUCCGCUAAUAGACCUUGAAGACCAUGGUAAUCCAACUAAGCGCAAUGAGAUUGUUGCAAAAGUUGGAGAGGCAUCAGAGACUUGGGGCUUCUUUCAAAUAGUGAAUCAUGGGAUACCUGUAGGUGUUCUGGAGGCGAUAAAGGAUGGGGUACGUGGGUUUUAUGAGCAGGACACUCGAGUCAAGAAAGAGUUUUACACUCGUGAUCACUCUAAACCUUUGUUUUACAAUAGCAACUUUGAUCUUUAUAGUUCACUGGCAACGAAUUGGAGGGAUACUUUUAAGUGUUACAUGGCUCCAUAUCCUCCUAAGCCAGAAGACUUGCCAGAAGUAUGCAGAGACGUACUGAUCGAGUAUUCAAAGCGAGUAAUGGAGUUGGGGAAAUUGUUGUUCGAGUUGUUGUCGGAGGCCCUUGGGCUAAAGCCAAGCCACUUGAAUAGCAUAGAUUGUAGUAAGGGGCUACAGGUUUUUAGGCCAUUUACUAUCCUGCUUGUCCACAGCCAGAGUUAACUUUGGGCACAAGCAAGCACGCUGAUGAUUCCUUCCUUACGGUCCUUCUGCAAGAUCAUAUUGGUGGUCUGCAAGUUGUUGAUCGUCAAAAGAAGUGGAUAGAUGUACCCCCUGUGCCUGGGGCUUUAGUGGUGAACAUUGGAGAUCUUUUACAACUCAUAUCAAAUGAUAGAUUCAAAAGCGUAGAACACAGGGUAUUGGCGAACCGUGAAGGUCCAAGGAUAUCCAUUGCCAGCUUCUUUAGCACAGGUUUGCUACCAUUUACAAAUCUCUAUGGACCUAUUAAGGAGUUGGUAUCAGAAGACAACCCUCCAAAGUACAGGGAGACUACUGUGAGGGACUACGACACCCAUUUCUAUGACAAAGGCCUAGAUGGAACCUCUGCCUUAUCUCAUUUUAAGAUCCCAACUUAGACAUGGAGGAGCACAGACCGCAACGAACAAAUCCUGUCUACUAAAUAAUUUUGCAUGAAAAUAUAUAUUGGUUGUUUAAUCUGAAAGCGCUUUCGCACCACAAAAUUCUGGAUAUGCAUAUUAUUUUGUUUUCUGUUUGCAUAUGGUCUAAUAUACUUGUAGAAAGGGUUGGGCUUCUACCCAUGCAUCUCAGGUACAAACUUCCCCUCCUAUAAAUUAUUGUAAUAGUUUCGAA